rnacentral:tRNA from 1 species
GGGGCUGUGGUGUAGUUUGGUCUAGCACCUACGCCUCGGGCGCGUAAAACCUGCGUUCAAAUCGCAGCAGCCCCA